rnacentral:tRNA from 1 species
GGAGAGAUGUCCGAGUGGUUUAAGGAGCACGCUUGGAAAGCGUGUGUGGGGGAGACUCCACCGUGGGUUCGAAUCCCACUCUCUCCG